rnacentral:rRNA from 1 species
AUUGAACGCUGGCGGCGUGCUUUACACAUGCAAGUCGAACGGCAGCGCGGGCUUCGGCCUGGCGGCGAGUGGCGAACGGGUGAGUAAUGCAUCGGAACGUGCCCAGUAGUGGGGGAUAGCCCGGCGAAAGCCGGAUUAAUACCGCAUACGACCUGAGGGUGAAAGCGGGGGACCGAAAGGCCUCGCGCUAUUGGAGCGGCCGAUGUCGGAUUAGCUAGUUGGUGGGGUAAAGGCUUACCAAGGCGACGAUCCGUAGCUGGUCUGAGAGGACGACCAGCCACACUGGGACUGAGACACGGCCCAGACUCCUACGGGAGGCAGCAGUGGGGAAUUUUGGACAAUGGGGGCAACCCUGAUCCAGCCAUGCCGCGUGCGGGAAGAAGGCCUUCGGGUUGUAAACCGCUUUUGUUCGGGAAGAAAUCCUCUGGGCUAAUACCCCGAGGGGAUGACGGUACCGGAAGAAUAAGCACCGGCUAACUACGUG